CUCUCAGUCCAGGCCUCAAACCAGCAGAAAUUAGACCCAUUUCUCGGCGUGCCCAACAUCUGUGCAACUGAUGUUGCCGGCGCUUAGUGGUUUUGUUUGCGAGGGCGUUGCAAACCAGGCGGAGAAACUUCUAACUUUCUUUUUAACCGAAAGUGUUUAAAAAGCCACAAAUCAAGAGCAGAAAAUAGCAUGAGCAUGUUGAGAUGAUGUUUAAUGAUUUCCUGAUGGAAAAUGGGAGCUGCAAACAAAGAAAGCACCAGACCAGCAGCUCUUGGAUCACAUACAUCUCUGGUGUGUGCUCUGUUUGAGUGCAGGGGUUAAUGAUGGUUAAUUUAUCACAUCAAUAACUAUUUCCUGAUGACUCUUCCCUGUCUACAAAGCUGAUUACUCAAUGUUUUUUAAUGAGCAUCUCUGGGCCAUCAAUCAGAUCAUAACUUGCUUUAAGUGUAUUUAUAAAUAAAUUGUGGUCUGUCCCAGACACAUAAGUUGGUGGCUUUGGGUCCAGUUGGGUGGGAACGCCUUGUCCCAUGCCAAGGAAUUCCUGUGCUCCGAGUCACCUCUCACUUUCCAAGGCCUCUUGCACUGUGAGGAAAAUCUGGCAUCAAAAUAAUGCUAAAAAAGUAAAAGGAUGUGGCAGUGGCCAAAGGGAGCAGGAAAAAGAAAGCCCAGAGGGCAAAGGGCUGUUUGCAUUUUGUAAUAUGGAUAUUUUUCCACUCAAGGAUUUUGGGGAGGAUGGAAGUGCAAUGCUGAGCAGUGUUUUGGAUGUGUUAUUGCAAAUUGCACUGCCCUUCCACAGAGGAAUGGUGGGAAGCAGUUGGGUAUUUCCCCCUUGGAGCCCUCCAGGAUGGGCUGUUGGCACUGGGACUGCAGAAUUUUUGGCCAGAGACAGGCAGGGAAAUGCUUUUAUUUACAGGCAGCCUUGGAGGUCUUGGAAAGCAAGGAGAAAGGAAAGGCACUGCUGGAGCAUUUGGCAGCAUGGUGAAGGGAUGUAGCAUGGUCAGAUUUGACGUGGUAUUUCAGGAGCGGAGGGUGACAAGGGACAGGGAUACACGGACACAGGUAAGAGGACAAAAAGGCUGAUUUAAGGCAUCUUCCCGGAUAAAGGGAGAAGCACUACAAGCUGAGGCUUGGGGAGCAUUGCUUUGCCUGAAAAGCACAGCCCCGUGUUUUCCCUUGGGAGGAGCUCGAGGAAUUCUGAGCCGCAUGCAGGAGAUGCUGCAGGGCUGGGGCUGCAGGAGCUGGAUCCUGUCCCGCUGCCAUGGGCUGCAGCGGCUCGGCCUGUCCUUGGGCUCCUCACCCUGUCACGAGAACUUCUGCAAGCACCCAGGUCUGCAGAAGUAAACCAACCACACAUCCUGCCUUGAAAAAAUAACAUUUUGAGGGGCUGGGCUCCACAACCUUGUGGAGUGCCCCCCAAGACCACCCAGGUGUAAACCCCGCUCCAAGUCCCUCCUCUUGUCCCUGUGGCAGCGGCAAAGGGCAGAGAGGAUGGCAGCGCUCCGGAUGGCUCCAGCCCUUCCCUUGGCUGCUGCAAUACGCCCGUCAGCUCUUGCAAUCCCUCUUGGCAGGCUGGGGAGAGCGGGAAGGACCUGGCUGCCUUCCAAGGAGCAGCAAAUGCAAAUAUUUCCUCACUUCAGGCUGGGUGCGGCCCGCGGAUAAAAUUUCCUUGGGCUUUCCCAGCGAAGGCAUCCGAUCUCUCGCUCUGCUGCGAGGCCAACUUGCUCCCAGGAACACAACCACGCGUCCCAUAAAAAAAGCCUAAAGGUUAUCUUUUUACAACUCAAAGGACUGCCUGGUUUUUAAAAAGAGGUUUUAAAUUGAAAAAGGAACUGUCAGGCACAGCUGUAGUGUUUUCAAAUCAGCGGUUAAAGUGUUGACUCACAAAAAACAAAACAAAACAACCCUUUCUGCAGGUUUCUUUGGAAAAUGGAAGAUUUGUUGUGUGGUGCAAGGAAAGUGGGAUGAUAAAGGGGCUGGAAAAGGUGCUGGGAGCAAGGUUGGGUGCUGGCAAUGGUUUUUCUCAAAUAAGAUAGAAAGAACUGCAGAAAAACUUUUCUUUUUUUUUUCCGUUUGCAUCCUAGGUUAAUGGCAGUCACAUCCCAGCCAGCUCCCUGCAGCGCUGUUCUUCCCCACAGAGCAUUCAGACCUAUUUUCUGCAUGUUCCUUCGACACAACCUAAAAAAAAAUUACAUUUCUUAAAUGAAAAGCAGUCUGAUCUUGCUGAUUCUGGAAAAGGCAAAAAACAGCAGGGAUUAUACAAGGAACAGCCCAAGUGUGGAUUUCUCCAGGUCAUGCAGCACAGGUGAGAUAUAUAUUAAAAAAAAACCAGCUGUAUGCUAAUAUUCUCAUUUAUCCCCAAUUUUCCUGGCAAAACUGAACCACCCACUGCCACAAUGUAGUUUUAAAACACAUCGAUUUUGAUAGCAUGAGGGGAAAGGGAUGAGGCGAGUGCGCAAGCGCGUUACUAGGCUGCAAGUGGUAUACUGGCUUCUUUAUAAAAUAAAGGAUAAAAAGCCCAACCCACCCUAUUUUUCAAAACAGACGCACAGCACACACCUGUGAGCAGAGUUUUGUUAUUUCAUACCCCAGAUUUCCCUCAUGUAUCAGUGAAUAUAGCAUCCUGCAGCCCUAUUUCCUGAAAAUUACCAAUUUUCACCCAGAUUUGGCUUCAAGUGGUUUUAAGUUAUAUCUUUAUUUUGAUGGAAUGUCCAGUAAAGCAGUGUGAGUGAGGUGUUUUAUUGAAAUAAAAACAUGGAUAUUUUUUGAAGAGGUUAUCCCCUUUGUCAAGGUGGAUUAUUGAUAUCAGGGGAAAAAAAGUGGAGAAGGACGGGGAAUAAAUAUAUGUAAUAUUAUAUCCCUUAAUUCUCCGUGCAGCUAAACUUUUCCUCACAGCCAAGCUGUGGAAUAUGCUUUAAUCUCAUUUACUGGAUUGAUUCGUCUGAGUAUGGUGGGUUUUUUAUUUUAUUGUUUGCUUGCUUUUUUGCUGAAGCGAUGGGGCUCUAGGCGGGGAGUUCAGCACGAAGUGUUUCGGGAGGAAAAAGAGAAAUUCCCGAAGAAAAAAGAUGAAAUGAGGAGGAAAAUGAGGGUUUUGGGGGACAAAAGGCGGCGCCGGCCGGGGCUGCCCCUCACGGCCCCUCAGGCGCUGCCCCCCCGCGCUCGCUUCACAAAAUGGCCGCCCGGCGGGGCCGCGGGAGCGGCUCUGAGGCGACAAAAUGGCGGCGGGCGGAGAGCGGCGCGGGCAUAACGGAGGGGCUCUAAUCCUGUGGGAAUCCCCUCCGGGCGGGCGGCGAAAGCGCUGCGGGUGAAACCUGACCUUCUUAUUAUCCCCUCCUCCCUCCUGCCCUUUUCUCCUCGCCGCCUUUGCGAAAGGAUGUGAAAAUGGCCAGAAAUGCGCGUUUUUAUUCGGCCAUGGCGGAGCCCCCGGUCCUCUCACCUCA
rnacentral:lncRNA from 1 species